AAAGGUGGGAGCAAACAGGAUUAGAUACCUGGUAGUCCACGCCCUAAACGAUGUCUACUAGUUGUUGGGAGGGAGACCUCCUUGGUGACGCAGCUAACGCGUGAAGUAGACCGCCUGGGGAGUACGGUCGCAAGAUUAAAACUCAAAGGAAUUGACGGGGGCCCGCACAAGCGGUGGAUUAUGUGGAUUAAUUCGAUGCAACGCGAAAAACCUUACCUGGCCUUGACAUGCCACUAACGAAGCAGAGAUGCAUCAGGUGCUCGAAAGAGAAAGUGGACACAGGUGCUGCAUGGCUGUCGUCAGCUCGUG
rnacentral:rRNA from 1 species